rnacentral:rRNA from 1 species
CAAUAGCGUAUAUUAAAGUUGUUGCGGUUAAAAGCUCGUAGUUGGAUUUCUGCUUGGGUGGCCGAUGUGCCUUCUGGGUUACAGCCGGUUCAGCCUGAGCAUCUUCUUGGGAAUCGUGUCUGCACUUGACUGUGUGGCACGGGUUCCAGGACUUUUACUUUGAGGAAAUUAGAGUGUUUCACGCAGGCGUCCGCCUUGAAUACGUUAGCAUGGAAUAAUGCGACAGGACCUCGGUCCAUUUUGUUGGUUUCUAGGAGCAGGGUAAUGAUUAAUAGGGAUAAUUGGGGGUAGUUCGAAUUAAGGCGUCAGAGGUGGAAUUCUUGGAUUGCCUUACGACGAACUACUGCGAAAGCAUUUACCAAGGUAUGUUUUCAUUGAUCAAGUAACGAAAGUCAGGGGAUCGAAGACGAU